GAUGAACGCUGGCGGCGUGCCUAAUACAUGCAAGUCGAGCGAACGGACGAGAAGCUUGCUUUUCUGAUGUUAGCGGCGGACGGGUGAGUAACACGUGGAUAACCUACCUAUAAGACUGGGAUAACUUCGGGAAACCGGAGCUAAUAUCGGAUAAUAUUUUGAACCGCAUGGUUCAAAAGUGAAAGACGGUCUUGCUGUCACUUAUAGAUGGAUCCGCGCUGCAUUAGCUAGUUGGUAAGGUAACGGCUUACCAAGGCAACGAUGCAUAGCCGACCUGAGAGGGUGAUCGGCCACACUGGAACUGAGACACGGUCCAGACUCCUACGGGAGGCAGCAGUAGGGAAUCUUCCGCAAUGGGCGAAAGCCUGACGGAGCAACGCCGCGUGAGUGAUGAAGGUCUCCGGAUCGUAAAACUCUGUUAUUAGGGAAGAACAUAUGUGUAAGUAACUGUGCACAUCUUGACGGUACCUAAUCAGAAAGCCACGGCUAACUACGUG
rnacentral:rRNA from 1 species